UGGUCCCACCUGACCCCAUGCCGAACUCAGAAGUGAAACGCCGUAGCGCCGAUGGUAGUGUGGGGUCUCCCCAUGCGAGAGUAGGGAACUGCCAGAC
rnacentral:rRNA from 12 species